rnacentral:rRNA from 1 species
GACGAACGCUGGCGGCGUGCCUAACACAUGCAAGUCGAACGGGGUAGUUCCUUCGGGGACUACUUAGUGGCGAACGGGUGAGUAACGCGUGAGAAACCUGCCUUUCAGUGGGGGACAACAGUUGGAAACGACUGCUAAUACCGCAUAAUGUUUCGAGAGGGCAUCCUUUUGAAACCAAAGCUUUAUGUGCUUUGAAAGAUGGUCUCGCGUCUGAUUAGCUAGUUGGUGAGGUAACGGCUCACCAAGGCGACGAUCAGUAGCCGGCCUGAGAGGGUGAACGGCCACAUUGGGACUGAGACACGGCCCAAACUCCUACGGGAGGCAGCAGUGGGGAAUAUUGCACAAUGGGGGAAACCCUGAUGCAGCGACGCCGCGUGAACGAUGAAGUAUUUCGGUAUGUAAAGUUCUAUCAGCAGGGAAGAUAAUGACGGUACCUGACUAAGAAGCACCGGCUAAAUACGUG